rnacentral:rRNA from 1 species
GACGAACGCUGGCGGCGGGCCUAAUACAUGCAAGUAGGACGCAGUUGCGAACGGGUGAGUAACGCGUAGGUCACUGCCUAUUAGAGGGGGAUAACUAUGGGAAACGAUAGCUAAUACCGCAUACUAGUAGAUGGAACUGCGUUGGAUUAGCUAGUAGGUAGGGGAAUGGCCUACCUAGGCAACCAUAACAAGCCGACCUGAGAGGGUGAUAGGCCACACUGGGACUGAGAAACGGCCCAGACUCCUACGGGAGGGAGCAGUAGGGAAUCUUCGGCAAUGGGGGGAACCCUGACCGAGCAACGCCGCGGGAGUGAAGAAGGUUUUCGGAUCGUAAAGCUCUGUUGUUAAGGAAGCGGUACUUAACCAGAAAGGGACGGCUAACUACGUGCCAGCAGCCGCGGUAAUAC